UGUACUAUAACAUAUUGCAUGACAUCAUCCCUUUGGUGAGCAUCUCCUUCAAGGAGGAAAUUAUAUUAUUAUUGUCAUGGUCAAAAUCAUUACGAGCAAGACGUCUUUCUUGCUUUACUUUUGUUGUACCAUAGGUACACAACCAAUGACAAAUUUGUAUUGCCACACAAUAAUGACCACAACCCUUAUAGGCAAGAACUAUUUCUUUCUUUUGCCCUUUCGGUAGUUUAUAUCAUAGUGACGUAUAAAACGUACAAUACAAUUAGCCAUUUCUACCAAAUAAAAUUUAUUUCCUCUCAAAUCUCCCGUAGAGAUGAGAAGUGACAUGUAUCAUUUUUUUUCUCAAACCUUCUAUAGAGGUGAGUUGUGACAUAUAUCCAAUCCAUAAUGAUUUUAUCAUAUCUGAACCCAUUCUCUUAUAGAAUGGUCGAGCAUUCACGAUACUUAUUACAAGUCACAUUCUCUUCAAGGAUUGGACUAAUCAUUUAUAUGUACUUCAUAAAUUUGCAUUAUAAGCACAUUGUCAUGUCUUUAAAAUUCAUCAUAUUUCCAUGACACACCUCAACAUCACUUUGAAAGAUUAAGUGUACCAUCACUUUAUCUUCUUGUAUCAUGAUAGAGGAUUUAUAAAUUUGUCAAAUUAUUGGGUUGACAACAUUCACAAGUCUAAUGACCUUUCAUACCAUUUUGAUGAUAAAAAUUGUCUUCACAUUUUGAAGGACUGUUUGAAGAACUCAUAGUGUUCUUCCUUUUAUCAUUACCACAAUGAUGACUAUUAUAAUUAUGUCUCUCCACGCCCUUAUUCAUAUCAUUAAUCAUUUGUCAUCUUUCAGAGUAACAUUCACUGCUACCACAUUCAUAUGAUUGAAUGAAGAAAGUUAACAGGCGGAUUUCAGAGUUAUUACAUGUUGCUACCACAUUCUUUUCAAGGAAUGAAGCAAAUUCAAUAGGACGAAUUUCAAGAUUUUUCAUCAAAGCCUUAGUCAUCAUUAUAUCAUCAUUAUGGUGCAUUGACUCGAACUCAAUGUCUUAUCCAUAUAAGGCGUUUUACGCCAUAAUUCUAUGGGACUUGAACCCAAUCACGGUGCAUCAAAACUCAAAUUGAUGUCUUACCCUUUUGGUGCAAUAGAACUUGAAUCUAUCGUCUUAUCCUCAAAUAUUUUUCAUUAUGGUGCAUCCAGACUUUAAUCAGAUGUCUUACCCUUUAACCAACGGUAUAAUAAACCGAAGUACAACAUGAAUCAUCCUUUGAGUCUUUCAAAACAAUCAAAAUAACAUUCAAAUUCAUGCUAUUAAAAUUUUAUACCUUCUUCUAUUUAAGAAAUUUUGUAUAGCAUAUCAUAUUCAACCAAUAGUAGUAUAUGUCUUAGGUUCCUGAUAAUUGUUAGUGACUGAAUACUAUUUUUAUUCUAAAUUAUAAAAAUAUUCUAGAAAAUACAUACCUGAUUUUAUGCAUAUAAUACCUUGAUUCUCAUAACGAGAUCAACCAAAACAUGAGUUAAAGAAAAACUAAAAAUCAAUCUUAAUUGACUAAAGACUCAUGCUGAUAACGUGUUAUAAAAUCAAGCUCAUAAGAAUAUAAUCAUAAAGAGAAGAAGACAAGAGAAGUAGAUAGAAGAAGAGGAUUUUUCUUCUUAUUAAAGUGUAUGUAAGUCUCAUCUGUAUAUCUUACAAUAGUGAAUGAACAACUCUAUUUAUAGAGUGAGAAAUCACUCCAAAGGUCACCAUAUUAAGUAUCAUAAUAAAUAGAUACAUUUUUAUCCAAAAAGGUUCAUGUAACCUAGUGAAUAUGAAUGGUUGUUCAUGUACCAACCUUAUGGACUAUCCACUUAUUCAAUGAAUUUAUAACACUUACUAUGAAAUGAAGAAAAUAUAUUAUUAAUAUUUGCAUAACUUUAACCAGCUACUAAACAACUCUUAAAGGCUUGUUUGGUUGAUUAUGUUUAAAAAAUUUUGUCUAUUGUAUAACAACCUGUCACAUAGUUUGAAUAAAAUAAAAAAAAAUAAUGCAGGAGUAUCAAUUUGAGUGGCUGAAUAUAAAAACAUUUUCGGAAUAUAUUGUGAUUCUACAGCAGAAUACAUCCAUUAAUCAAUUAAUACAGAACUUCUCAAGCAUAUAUCUCUCUUGCAUACGACGAAAAAAAAAUGCAGGAAUUUUUAUGCUUAUGAUUAAUUAAUUAAUUGAAGAAAGAAAAUCAAGUUGAUAAGUUGAAAAUUCAUAAUAGCUGUAAAAAUAGUACAUCCAUCAAUAUUUAUGGUACUCCACAUGUCAAACAAAUACUAAAUUAAAUACGAAUAAAAUAUAUGUUAUUAGAUAGUUAAGUAAAUUAUAUAAAGUACAUCUAUCUUUUUUAAUUUUUGCAUCAAUUUCGAGUAGAAAAUAUAUGGAGUUUACGAUUUAUUGAGAUAAAAAUAUAUAACUAAAGAAAAUGACAGUUCAUAUGAUUAACUUAAUUAUCGAAUAAAUGAAUGAAAAUACAUAUAAUUAUUUUUUAAAAUUUAAACAAAAAAUGUCUAAUUUGAACACGUUAUCAAGAGUUGAGGUAUUCAACUAAAACAUGACAUAUUUUAUAUGAUUAACUUAAUUAGUGAAUAGAUGAGUGAGAGCACACAAUUUUUUUCUUUCAAAAC
rnacentral:lncRNA from 1 species